CUCUGGUGACUCUUCUGACUUGAGAGGCAUGAACAGGAUCGGAAGCAAGCUUAAUCUUGCUUUGCUUGGCUGGAAGUUUAGUUGGCCCUGGCAUGAGACUGAGGGGUGGAGAGAGUAAAGAAGGAAAAAUGGUCAUAAAUAACUCAGGAGGAUCAUCAUCAUGAUAAAGCAGAUUGCUUUUUGAAGGAUAAAAUUAGUCACCAAUCAUAUUUACAUUUCCUAGGAGGAUAAGUAUAAUGAAGCAAGACUGUGGUUUUCUGGGCAUGAUCCCAGUUUAUUUGCCGCUAUAAUUAUGCGCUCUUUGAGUUAGUGUAGUAUCAACAGUGCUAGUUGCUCUGUGCUGUUUGGACUUCCUGAGAUAUGAAAGGUCAGGUGGGCAAAGAACCAACACCCACAGACCUAAACAACGGUUGCAUUGAGAUGAUUUGACAAGCUGAUCCUCUUCUCUGGUGACUGUCAUCUUGGUCUCUAAACUUUUCCUUUAAAACAAAAUUAAUUUUUUGUUUUGUUUUUAUGGUUGCAAAGAUGACCUUCAGAAUGUGAAAUCUAUGUAAAUCAAUGCAGUGCUAUCUAACCAAAUCGAUAGACAGCCUGAAACAAAAGCUCUGAGAGAUAUGAAAAGCCCCCAUUCAUUUGAAUGAGAUGUUAACUUUGAACAUUUGUCAAUAUUAUUAGGUAUUUCACUGCUGAGAAAAGGAGAUGGGAUAUCAUGCUAUGAUAAUCUGUACAACAUGUUCAGAGUAGGGUCAUCUAAUUUUUAUGGCACAAGUGAGAAGAGCUUUAGAGACAAUAACCACUUUUUUUCCCAGUCUGCCCAUGAGUGUACAGGUCCAGUUGACUGAUGUAUCUCAGCUUUUUGGAGUCUGGUAAAAACAAAGACUUUCUACUAUCAGAGGCUUGAACAAAAAUAGUUGAAUAUUUCCUUCAGCUUGGUUUCAAAAUGACAGCAACCAAAAAAGUGGCCUUAUACAAUGAAAGAUUUGUAAGGUCAAGAGUGCUUUUACAGUUAGUACUGUCUAUUUCAAGGGAGGGCACACUAUGGCCUGCGAGCCAGAUCCAGCCUGUCAGGGCUUUUGAUCCAGCCUGUGGGAUUGCUAGACCCUUGGCAUAGUGAGGCUAAAGCAGGCUCCCUGUCUGCUCUGGCUCCUUGGGGGGGCAGGCAGAAGGCUCCCAUGUGCUGCCUUCACCACCUGCAGUUCUUCUGCCUCAAGCUACUUCUCAGCAGGAGCCCAGUCUGAAGUAUCAGUAAAAUGUUCCCUCUCACUGAGAGAUACAUAAACACCAUUCACUGAAUGAGGCAUUAUCUAAUGUUGAUCUCCACACAGUUGGUGAUACCACAUGUUUUUGUGCGUUAACUGUUAUCCUGUGUACCUUUGCUAUCUGAGUUGGGCCAAAUCUUGCUGUUGAAUAGGUUCAUUAUUAUCAGUUAAAAACAACUACAAAAAGUCUUAAUUUGAUUAAGAGGAUGCAUGACUCUAUCUAAGGAACCACACAAUUUUGUUGUAACCCCUUGUCCACCUUUCACCCCCUCCACUUACUUUGCUUUUUCUUGUCUAUUUGUCAAAAAUUGCCCUCAGUAAGUACAAUACAAAUUUAGAUUGUAAACUUUGCAGCACCGACUGAGUCUUCUAUGUGUUUUGUAAAGAGCCUAACAUUUUUCUGGGUUCAGUGAAACAAUAAUACAUAUACCUCACAUUGCCUAUAGUUCUGUGUAUAUGUGAAGGUAGAACUGGGUCCUUAAAAUGUGUACUCUUCAGAGUUAAAACAACGAGGAGGCUUUGUGGCACCUUAGAGAAUGACAAAUUUAUUUGGGCAUAAGCUUCCGUGGGUUAAAACUCACUUCAUCAAAUCACCUGAUUUGAUAGGGAUAAACAGUAUGGGCGUAUAUAAUAUAAAAAACAUACUUCAUUCUCCCUGUGGACUCAAGAAUAUCAAAGUAUUUUAAAAAAUCAAACCGAUCUUACCAAAACAUUAUUAAGAAAGAGCUAGUUUUUAAUUACUGUUAAAAUGUAUAAAUAAGUAACUACGUAUUAAGUCCAAUAUUAUACUUGGUGCUGUACAAGACACAAAAUACAGUCAGUCUGCCCCAAAGAGCUUACAAUCUAAACAAGACAGACAUAGACUGGACAGGACUGUUAAGUAUGGAAGAAGGAAAGACUAAAUAGCUAUUUUCUUGAGUUAGGUGGAAAUGAGUCUUUUGUAAGAUGUGAUU